GACGAACGCUGGCGGCGUGCCUAAUACAUGCAAGUCGAACGAGAGCAACCGGUGCUUGCACUGGUCAAUCUAGUGGCGAACGGGUGAGUAACACGUGGGUAACCUGCCAUCAGAGGGGGAUAACAUCCGGAAACGGAUGCUAAAACCGCAUAGGUCUUCGAACCGCAUGGUUUGAAGAGGAAAAGAGGCGCAAGCUUCUGCUGAUGGAUGGACCCGCGGUGCAUUAGCUGGUUGGUGAGGUAACGGCUCACCAAGGCCGUGAUGCAUAGCCGACCUGAGAGGGUGAUCGGCCACAUUGGGACUGAGACACGGCCCAAACUCCUACGGGAGGCAGCAGUAGGGAAUCUUCCGCAAUGGACGCAAGUCUGACGGAGCAACGCCGCGUGAGUGAAGAAGGUUUUCGGAUCGUAAAACUCUGUUGUUAGAGAAGAACAAGUGCUAGAGUAACUGUUAGCGCCUUGACGGUAUCUAACCAGAAAGCCACGGCUAACUACGUG
rnacentral:rRNA from 1 species